rnacentral:rRNA from 1 species
AGUGAACGCUGGCGGUAGGCCUAACACAUGCAAGUCGAACGGCAGCACAGUAAGAGCUUGCUCUUACGGGUGGCGAGUGGCGGACGGGUGAGGAAUACAUCGGAAUCUACUUUUUCUUGGGGGAUAACGUAGGGAAACUUACGCUAAUACCGCAUACGACCUACGGGUGAAAGCAGGGGAUCUUCGGACCUUGCGCGUUUGAAUGAGCCGAUGUCGGAUUAGCUAGUUGGCGGGGUAAAGGCCCACCAAGGCGACGAUCCGUAGCUGGUCUGAGAGGAUGAUCAGCCACACUGGAACUGAGACACGGUCCAGACUCCUACGGGAGGCAGCAGUGGGGAAUAUUGGACAAUGGGCGCAAGCCUGAUCCAGCAAUACCGCGUGGGUGAAGAAGGCCUUCGGGUUGUAAAGCCCUUUUGUUGGGAAAGAAAAGCAGCAGGUUAAUACCCCGCUGUUCUGACGGUACCCAAAGAAUAAGCACCGGCUAACUUCGUG